CUGCGGCGGGGAGGCAGCUCCAAGGGCACAGUGUGCAGUAACAAGGCUGUGUGCUGUUCUCUGGAUCUGCAUGGCCAGCCUUUAACCCAAACUACUGGGCGCUGAGUUUUAGUAAGAAAAGAAAGGAUGAAGGGUUACAACUCACUGCAAGGUUUCAGUUUUGAAUACAGUUUGCUUCUGGUGUUACAAUCCCUCACCAACUUGCAAUAUGAACAAGAGGCAGUAUCAGUGCCAUCCUGAAUAGAUCCUCUGAGGAUCAGAAGGAGAUUUGGGGAGGUUGUGGAAAAUUGUGCUUCUCGCCUGUCUCCUAUUCAUGUCUCUUCUCAAAAAGAUUAAAAGCAGACUUUCUCCAGGUUGCUGCACAAAAGAUAUCCCCCACCUGUGUGUAUAACCCUCCUCCUACCUGUUCCACUGGUUCCAUUUAGUGGCUGAUUUUGUUAGUUUUUAUGUGCACUGGCAGUAUGUGCACUGUUAGUUUUUAUGUGCACUGUUAGUUUUUAUGUGCACUGUGCACUGGUAUGCUGCAAAACUUCCUAUUUAACUGUAAUGUUAACUUCAUUGUAGGAAUUCAGACCAAGAGUGGCUGGGGGUCCCCAUCAUCUCUUGAAAAAGUGUUGAACUCUCAGGCAGAAAUCCUCUGGCUUCACCCUCCUUCUCCCUACAUUAAUUUUGCCAGUAUCAGGUGUUUGGGAUGAGCCAAGGAUUGUUGUGAAGCUUCACAGAUCAUCACAGGGUUCUUUUAUUACCAGGAUCUGUCUUUAUUUAUGGCUUCUUGCUGGUACAACUCACCUGUCUGGUGUCAGAAAUUUUUCCUCCUCUCUUUCUGAGCCCUGGGCAGGGUCUGUCAGGGGUGGGCAGCUGUGGCUGUGUCUGUCAGGCAGCAGGUGACAGCCUGGGGAGAUGGGGCUCCUCUUUCUUCUCUGGUUAUUGAUUUUUGCUCUGUUUUUCUUAAGGUUGAUAUUAACUGUAAAUUCUGAGGGGAGUCAACAGCAAGCAAUAAGGCGAUGCAUGAUUGUACAUUUUGAUAUUCAAGAUCAUCUGGGUUGCUCCAGCCUUGGGGCCUGCAUUCAUAGGUCUGUGCUGUAUCAUCCUGCAGAAGAAAAUAUACCAACAUUCACAGGAUAAUGCCUUUCACAGUCUCUUUCUCAAGCAAACAUGCCAUAAAAGUAUUUGUGAUACUGGGUCUGUUGACAGUGAUGUUCAAAGUGUCAUUUUAUGAUGUAUUUUGUGGGAUAUGAGUAAAACCUGACAAAAGAAAGGCCUUGUAAAAUCAUGGCUCAGGACUUGCUGCUUUGGCCGGGUACAGCUAAGAGCUAUCCUGAUAAGUCCCAGAGAAAAAGGAAUUGUAACAGCGAGAAUCAGCUUGCAUAUCAAUCUAUUCCUGUGGGAACCAAUUUGCACCUGUGAGAAGAAGGAUUCUACCCAUGUGAAACAUCUUUUUUCCAGGAAACAAGAAUGUAAACAUCCCUGGAGACCAAAGUUUUUGAUGGACACGUACAGUAGCCAUUACUAACCAAUGACCUGAAUUGCCGUAAGUUACUAACCAAUUAGAAUUAAACAUGAUGCCUUAGAAAACCGUAAAAAUAUGAGCUGUGAAGAAUAAAAAUUGGCUUUUCUGGAUGAAGACACAGGUGUCUUUCUCCGUCCAUACUGUGACAGCAUUUCUUCUACUGCUCUAUAUUUCUAUUCAGUGGAUUUUGAAAGCAUUUUCCAGCUCGGUGUCCCAGUGAACAAGCCCUGAAUGUGCCACUUCCCUCAAUGAUAACUCUGAACCCUCAGGCAGUGUUUGUCACACAGCUCAGCCCAUCAGUGGAGAGCAGACUCGUGGCAGUAACCAAUGCACAGGAAUGAGAGAGUGUGUUUGACUUUCCCAGCAGCAGAGAAGCACAACAGAGCUAUUCCUGUUUCCUUGGAGCAUGAGCUGUGUGGGGUUGGGGUUGCUGGGACAGGGGAGGUUGGAGCUCAGCUCCUUCCCAAGGGCUGUACCCAUCUCCUGCUGGGAUCCCAGCCCCUGCAUGAGCCUGGAGGUCUUCUCAGUAUCUGGUCUGACCCCCAACAGAUGAUGAUGGGUGACUCCUUCAGAUCCCAUAAAACGUGAGACAGCCCUUAACUUCAGCUGGUUGAGCCCACUACUGGCUGCAGAUUUGGUGGCAGGGUGGAGAGGAAAUAGAAAUUUUGUUCUUAUGAGCUGCUAAUUUUCACGCUGAGUGUUUGAAUCUUCUCCUAACUCCUUGCAUGAAUUGAAUAUUUCCAUCUCUUGUUAUUGGAACUAUUUCCAGGAGACUGUAAAGAGAUCCUGAGCUGAGUGAUCUAUUGUAAUUCACUGAGAAAAGACUCAGCAACCUACAUGGAUACAAAAGGAACUAAAGGAAAUCCUCUUUGUCUCAGUUACAGGUCUUUCCUCUUGAGUUUGGAAUUUCUUAGUGGGAAGAAGCUCCAAGAGAUGUUCUCUCCCUCUUAGCACUGCUGCUGCAUAAGAAACAAGCGUUGGUAAAAGAGUUAUUUAAAUAAAGGAGUCAUUUUGCAUGGAUCCUGUCAGCUUUGUUACCAUUUCUGAUCAAACUGGUCUAGUGGGAGGUGUCCCUGCCCGUGGCAGGGGGCUGGAAGAGGAUGAUCUGUUAGAUCCCUUCCAACCCAAACCACUCUAUGAUUCUGUGUUCUUUAACACUCCUCUGACCUACAUCUCAUUUGGAGAGCGGCCACUUGGGCAGGUUGUUCUGGGAGUGUCAAGAUCCAUCCCUCCAAGGCAUCCCUGGCUGGAAGGAACAGGGGCUCUGUGGUUGGCACUGUCCUCAGUGGCUCCCAGUCUGGUGUCCCAGGGGCCCCCAGAGCCAUACUGGGAGAUGGAGGGGGCUGCUCCCAGUGCCCUGGGACACCCCAGCUCCAGCCCCACCCCGUCCCUCCAGCUCCUGGCUGCAUCCGAGGACACAGGGGGAUGUGGUAGGAGGGACCCCAAAGCAGGUCUGCAGUGAUCUUGCAGGUAGUGACUUUCUUACCUCUACAAAGAGACCCAAACACCUGAGAAGUUUUAGGGAAAAUAAAGCUGUUUUCUUUAUUGACUUGCCUCUUUGGUAAACUAAGAAAAACGAGGAAAAAAACCCUAGCUCUUGUUUUUUUUUUAAUCUCUGUAUCUGGCUUUAUUUAUACAAUCCAUCAAGAGGUAUCUCAUCAACAACAUUAUUUAGGCUGAAAUAGGAGACUCACUAUUAGUCUUAAAAAUUCCUAUAAUAAACAGGUUCUGACAUUUAAUUUGUUGUAGCCAGUAAAAGAAUAAAUUACCGAGUAAACAUUAUGCAGAAAACAUUUAAGCAAAGUAGAAAUCAGUGUUCUUUAUAUGGGAACUUAAACCAGAACCAUAUAUUUUGCAUGUUCUGUUUAUUUUUCUGUUGGGUAAGAUGAAGUGUGCAGUUUGUAUUGUUUGCUUAGGGAAUAAUUUAAGUAUGGCUAAGAAUGGAGCAUCUGUUGAACAACUCUUUGGUCAGUAAACAGUGUAAGAUAUUUUUUAUUAAACAUAGCCCAGCCCUCCCCCUUCCCAGGGAUGGAUGGGAACAGUAGGCACAUGAAUUUUCUCCAGCAGAAGGACCAGGCUGAGCAGAGCAGGAAGAAAUGGCUGCUCUGUUUCAGAGCUAUGCAGGCAUCAAAAUUAUUUAUGCUGUGAGAAAAAGAAAUAAGGGGUAGAGCCAAUGCAGCUGGGCUCCAGAAAAAGUAAUGAAUGUCAAAUAAGUGAAUGCCUGAGGUAGCAUCCUCCAAAAGAAAGCAGAGUGGAACUGGGCUGGUGGAUAAUAGGAUUUCCAUUAGUUUACCCAGACUCAUCAUUUCACUGAGUUGAUUUUGGUACAAAAAGGACAGUCAUGUCUCAUUUAAAGAUCCAAUGUGCACCACUGCCUGCUGAAACCCAAUGGCCAAUGCAGAGAGAGGCCAUGCAGGACAAGGUGUUCCUCAGGGGCAAACACAUGGACAAAACUCAGGAAACAGCUGGCUGUGGUAUCAAAGGGCAGCUUGGGGCUGUUGGGACUUCAUCCUCUUCAUCAGAGAGUGCUUGGAACUGCCUGACUCCAGCGCUGCCUCCUCCUGCCCGGGCCUCCUGCUUUGGCUGCUGUGCCAGAAAACACCCUGGCCUCAGUACCUGUGAUAAAUCAAACAUCGUGGUUAUGACUUUAAAAGCAUCUUCUUUAAAACUGAGAAAUUCUGUUAUAAAAACCAGAUAAGACUGAUGGAGGUAAACACACUGCUCUGAUUAUUUACUUCUGUUUAAAUUUUGCUAGCUUUUAAGAAAUGUUAACACUCAUACAAAUGUGGUUCUUAUUCAAAGGAACACGUGAUAUAAGCCUUGGAAUUUUGCCUCUUUCCCUGUUUUGCUUUCCCAUCCCUCCACUUAUGCACCUGCAUCUCUCACUUGCUCCUGACCUGCAGAGAUGAGCUCCCAGGGUGAGCUGGGGCUCCUGCCUUUGCUGCCCUGCAAACAAUGACAUGGCAGAGUCAAAAGGUGCUUCCACACAGAGCAGAGCUAUUUUGGUUAUUUCUAACACAGUGCAUGUGAAACUUCCGAGUUCAGGUACAAAUCAAUGAAUAUGUUCUUCACUUGGUCCAAUGGGAGCUGUGGUACAAACAAGAGAGAUGAGGCUGGGACUGAGCAGCCUGUGCUGGGAUCCCAGUGUGGGCCAGCAGAUGCUGGAGGUUGUGCUGAGAGAUUGGAUUCAAUUUGCUCUUCUGCACUGAGUGCUCUGAAACUGGGAGCUGGGCGUGCCAGACCAAAGCAAAGAGGUGGCAGAUGGGAUGAGGGCAAGAUGAUUAAUUGAAAUAUACCAAGCAGCCUUGUAUUAGCUCCUGCAGCGUGUUCUGAAGUGUGUGGUCGUGAGGAUCAGCUCUGGUUUAGGGGCAAAUCUGCUUCUCUGUGGUAGCAGUCCCACUGUGGCCUUCAGAAGCACUUGUCUGUCCACAUUGCUCACCAAGCUGGGAA